GAUGAACGCUAGCUACAGGCUUAACACAUGCAAGCCGAGGGGUAACGAGAGGGAAGCUUGCUUUCCUUGUCGACGACCGGCGCACGGGUGAGUAACGCGUAUCCAACCUGCCCCCAACUAGGGAAUAACCUUGCGAAAGUAAGACUAAUACCCUAUAAUUUCCUCAGAUGUCAUCUGACGAGGAAUAAAGAUUUAUCGGUUGUGGAUGGGGAUGCGUCUGAUUAGCUUGUUGGCGGGGUAACGGCCCACCAAGGCAACGAUCAGUAGGGGUUCUGAGAGGAAGGUCCCCCACAUUGGAACUGAGACACGGUCCAAACUCCUACGGGAGGCAGCAGUGAGGAAUAUUGGUCAAUGGGCGGAAGCCUGAACCAGCCAAGUAGCGUGCAGGAUGACGGCCCUAUGGGUUGUAAACUGCUUUUAUACAGGAAUAAAGUUAGCCACGUGUGGUUAUUUGUAGGUACUGUAUGAAUAAGGACCGGCUAAUUCCGUGCCAGCCGCCGCCGCAA
rnacentral:rRNA from 1 species